rnacentral:tRNA from 1 species
GUUAUUUUGGCAGAUUAGUGCAAUUGAUUUAGGUUCUUUUUAUAUAGGUUUACUAUAAAUAAUA